GCUGGGAAAUAUUCUCCUAAAUCGUGGGCAUUUUUUUCUUGUUCAAUCUCGAGUCUAGACUGUGCUAAACGGUAAAUUCAUUUCAAGUGAAUGAAAUGCAAUACAAAAGCAAUACAAAAGCAACACUUUUAAAUAUUGGUAGAGUUUGACCUAUUUGGUGUAGUGAUGCAUAAAAAGAGAGAAAAAAAAGGGCGACAUUUGAAGAAACGUAAAUGAUAAGAGAUGAAAUAUGGGAAGAACAGAUCAUUUGAUGUAUUUUAAGAGAAGGUGGUGAUGGAAUGUAGUCAGAAGGCAGAUUCCCAGGAGGGACAUGAUGCAUUCCAGAGAGGCAACUUGGUCCAGAUACUAUGUGUAAAAGAAAGAGGCUAUUAUCAGAACUCCUGUGGAAUUCCAUGCCACAGAAGUCAAAAGUCCAGACAGCUCUCAACACAGAAGUUAGCUGCUUAUCCAGCAUCUGCAGAACUCCCUGUAAGAACAGUCAGAUCUGAGUUCUAAAAAUGAGGUCACUCUGGGGAUAGUUACAAAUUAGAGCGUCUUUUUGCUGCCAUCUAGUGGUUAUCCGGAUUUCUUCAGCCCAGACUAGAUCCUACAAUUUCCAAGAUUGGGCAAACAACUGAAUUUUAGCAUGUUUAACUAAAGGACAGCAGCUUUUUUAAAAAAAAAAACAUCUGUAAAGAAACUGACGAGCCUUUGAAAGGAACAGAAAUCCCUGUCAUCUCUGGAUGAAUAAAUCCUGCACAUGUCUUUGGAUAAAUAAAUCCUCUACCUGAGAAAUGUAUUGGGAGAAGUCAAUACAAACUCUAGUAUAACAAUGCUCUCAUAAAAAAUAAGAAGUAUUCUUAGAUCCCUGCAUUGAAAUAGGCUAAGCACAGAUACGGAGCCACAUUAUUUUAUUGAUUUUAACUGUAUGUACUGUUUUACUAUGUUUUAUAUUAUGCAUUUUAAAUUGUUCUAAGCUGUUGAGUGUUUAUACAACAGAAAGAUGGAAUAUACAUUUAAUAUUAAAUAAAUAUAAGGGAAAUGAAGAA